AGUGAACGCUGGCGGUAUGCCUAACACAUGCAAGUCGAACGGAAGCACAGUAAGAUCUUGCCUUUACGGGUGGCGAGUGGCGGAUGGGUGACGAAUACAUCGGAAUCUACUUUUUCGUGGGGGAUAACGUAGGGCAACUUACGCUAAUACCUCAUACGACCUACCGGUUAAUGCAGGGGUUCUUCGGACCUUUCGUGUCUGAAUUAGCCGAUGUCGGAUUAGCUAGUUGGGUGGGUAAAGGCCCACCAAGGCAACGAUCCGUAGCUGGUCUGAGAGGAUGAUCAGCCACACUGGAACUGAGACACGGUCCAGACUCCUACGGGAGGCAGCAGUGGGGAAUAUUGGACAAUGGGCGCAAGCCUGAUCCAGCCAUACCGCGUGGGUGAAGAAGGCCUUCGGGUUGUAAAGCCCUUUUGUUGGGAAAGAAAAGCAGCAGGUUAAUACCCCGCUGUUCUGACGGUACCCAAAGAAUAAGCACCGGCUAACUUCGUG
rnacentral:rRNA from 1 species